rnacentral:rRNA from 1 species
GUGUCAGCCGCCGCGGUAAAACGUAGGAUGCGAGCGUUAUCCGGAGUUACUGGGCGUAAAGGGCGGGCAGGCGGCCUGUUAAGUCGGACGUGAAAGCUCCCGGCUCAACCGGGAGAGGCCGUUCGAGACUGGCGGGCUAGAGGGCAGCAGAGGGGCGUGGAAUUCCGGGUGGAGUGGUGAAAUGCGCAGAGAUCCGGAGGAACACCAGAGGCGAAGGCGGCGCGCUGGGCUGACCCUGACGCUGAGCCGCGAAAGCGUGGGGAGCGAACGGGAUUAGAAACCCCGGUAGUCCACGCCGUAAACGAUGUCGACCAGGUGUUGGGGCGAAAGGCUUCAGCGCCGAAGCUAACGCGAUAAGUCGACCGCCUGGGGAGUACGGCCGCAAGGCUAAAACUCAAAGGAAUUGACGGGG